rnacentral:tRNA from 1 species
CUGCGCGAUCGUCGGCGGGCGGGAGCUGGCUCUCGCCUAGCGGCGCGACCCUGAGCCUCGACCAGACGUUCAGGGACGCCUCGCGCGUCC